CUACGGAGGGUGCAAGCGUUACUCGGAAUCACUGGGCGUAAAGCGCGCGCAGGCGGUCUUUUAAGUUGGAUGUGAAAGCCUACGGCUCAACCGUAGAACUGCAUCCAAAACUAUUAGACUAGAGUGUGGGAGAGGAAGAUGGAAUUAGUUGUGUAGGGGUAAAAUCCGUAGAGAUAACUAGGAAUACCAAAAGCGAAGGCAAUCUUCUGGAACACUACUGACGCUGAGGCGCGAAAGCGUGGGGAGCAAACGGCAUUAGAAACCCUAGUAGUCC
rnacentral:rRNA from 1 species